GAGGAAACUUGUGCUAAUACCGGAUAAGUCUUUACGGACAAAGCUUUAUGCACCAUUGGAUGAGCCCGCACUUGAUUAGUUUGUUGGUAGGGUAAUGGCCUACCAAGACUAUGAUCAAGAGCUGAUUUGAGAGGAAGAUCAGCCACAUUGGGACUGAGACACGGCCCAAACUCCUACGGGAGGCAGCACUGGGGAAUCUUGCACAAUGGAGGAAACUCUGAUGCAGCGAUGCCGCGUGAGUGAAGAAGGCCUUUGGGUUGUAAAGCUCUUUCGUCGGGGAAGAAAAUGACUGUACCCGAAUAAGAAGGUCCGGCUAACUUCGUGCCGC
rnacentral:rRNA from 1 species